rnacentral:rRNA from 1 species
AAAGAUUAAGCCAUGCAUGUCUAAGUAUAAGCAAUUAUACAGCGAAACUGCGAAUGGCUCAUUAUAUAAGUUAUCGUUUAUUUGAUAGUACCUUACUACUUGGAUAACCGUGGUAAUUCUAGAGCUAAUACAUGCUGAAAAUCCCGACUUCGGAAGGGAUGUAUUUAUUAGAUUCAAAACCAAUGNCCUCUNGGGCUCACUGGUGAUUCAUGAUAACUCUUCGAAUCGCAUGGCCUUGCGCCGGCGAUGGUUCAUUCAAAUUUCUUCCCUAUCAACUUUCGAUGUUUGGGUAGUGGCCAAACAUGGUUGCAACGGGUAACGGAGGGUUAGGGCUCGACCCCGGAGAAGGAGCCUGAGAAACGGCUACUACAUCCAAGGAAGGCAGCAGGCGCGCAAAUUACCCAAUCCCGACACGGGGAGGUAGUGACAAUAAAUACUGAUACAGGGCUCUUUUGGGUCUUGUAAUUGGAAUGAGUACAAUUUAAAUCCCUUAACGAGGAACAAUUGGAGGGCAAGUCUGGUGCCAGCAGCCGCGGUAAUUCCAGCUCCAAUAGCGUAUAUUAAAGUUGUUGUGGUUAAAAAGCUCGUAGUUGAACCUUGGGCCUGGCUGGCCGGUCCGCCUCACCGCGUGUACUGGUCCGGCCGGGCCUUUCCCUCUGUGGAACCCCAUGCCCUUCACUGGGUGUGGCGGGGAAACAGGACUUUUACUUUGAAAAAAUUAGAGUGCUCCAGGCAGGCCUAUGCUCGAAUACAUUAGCAUGGAAUAAUGAAAUAGGACGCGCGGUUCUAUUUUGUUGGUUUCUAGGACCGCCGUAAUGAUUAAUAGGGACAGUCGGGGGCAUCAGUAUUCAAUUGUCAGAGGUGAAAUUCUUGGAUUUAUUGAAGACUAACUACUGCGAAAGCAUUUGCCAAGGAUGUUUUCAUUAAUCAGGAACGAAAGUUAGGGGAUCGAAGACGAUCAGAUACCGUCGUAGUCUUAACCAUAAACUAUGCCGACUAGGGAUCGGACGAUGUUAUUUUU